rnacentral:rRNA from 1 species
GUGGGGAAUCUUGCGCAAUGGGCGAAAGCCUGACGCAGCCAUGCCGCGUGAAUGAUGAAGGUCUUAGGAUUGUAAAAUUCUUUCACCGGGGACGAUAAUGACGGUACCCGGAGAAGAAGCCCCGGCUAACUUCGUGCCAGCAGCCGCGGUAAUACGAAGGGGGCUAGCGUUGCUCGGAAUUACUGGGCGUAAAGGGCGCGUAGGCGGACAGUUUAGUCAGAGGUGAAAGCCCAGGGCUCAACCUUGGAAUUGCCUUUGAUACUGGCUGUCUUGAGUACGGGAGAGGUGAGUGGAACUCCGAGUGUAGAGGUGAAAUUCGUAGAUAUUCGGAAGAACACCAGUGGCGAAGGCGACUCACUGGCCCGUUACUGACGCUGAGGCGCGAAAGCGUGGGGAGCGAACGGGAUUAGAAACCCGGGUAGUCC